UAACCAGGGGUGAGGUCCCCUGGGAUCGGGU
rnacentral:sRNA from 1 species